AGGCGACGAUCCCUAGCUGGUCUGAGAGGAUGACCAGCCACACUGGAACUGAGACACGGUCCAGACUCCUACGGGAGGCAGCAGUGGGGAAUAUUGCACAAUGGGCGCAAGCCUGAUGCAGCCAUGCCGCGUGUAUGAAGAAGGCCUUCGGGUUGUAAAGUACUUUCAGCGGGGAGGAAGGGAGUAAAGUUAAUACCUUUGCUCAUUGACGUUACCCGCAGAAGAAGCACCGGCUAACUCCGUGCCAGCAGCCGCGGUAAUACGGAGGGUGCAAGCGUUAAUCGGAAUUACUGGGCGUAAAGCGCACGCAGGCGGUUUGUUAAGUCAGAUGUGAAAUCCCCGGGCUCAACCUGGGAACUGCAUCUGAUACUGGCAAGCUUGAGUCUCGUAGAGGGGGGUAGAAUUCCAGGUGUAGCGGUGAAAUGCGUAGAGAUCUGGAGGAAUACCGGUGGCGAAGGCGGCCCCCUGACGAAGACUACGCUCAG
rnacentral:rRNA from 1 species